AGUGAACGCUGGCGGUAGGCCUAACACAUGCAAGUCGAACGGCAGCACAGUAAGAGCUUGCUCUUACGGGUGGCGAGUGGCGGACGGGUGAGGAAUACAUCGGAAUCUACUUUUUCGUGGGGGAUAACGUAGGGAAACUUACGCUAAUACCGCAUACGACCUACGGGUGAAAGCAUGGGAUCUUCGGACCUGUCGCGAUUGAAUGAGCGGAUGUGGGAUUAGCUAGUUGGCGGGGUAAAGGCCCACCAAGGCGACGAUCGGUAGCUGGUCUGAGAGGAUGAUCGGCGACACUGGAGCUGAGACACGGUCCAGACUCCUACGGGAGGCAGCAGUGGGGAAUAUUGGACAAUGGGCGCAAGCCUGAUCCAGCCAUACCGCGUGGGUGAAGAAGGCCUUCGGGUUGUAAAGCCCUUUUGUUGGGAAAGAAAAGCAGCAGGUUAAUACCCCGCUGUUCUGACGGUAACCAAAGAGUAAGCACCGGCUAACUUCGUG
rnacentral:rRNA from 1 species